AUUGAACGCUGGCGGAAUGCUUUACACAUGCAAGUCGAACGGUAGAGGGGGCAACCCCUCGAGAGUGGCGAACGGGUGAGUAAUAUAUCGGAACGUGCCCAGUCGUGGGGGAUAACGUAGCGAAAGUUACGCUAAUACCGUAUACGAUAUAAGGAUGAAAGCGGGGGAUCGCAAGACCUCGCGCGAUUGGAGCGGCCGAUAUCAGAUUAGGUAGUUGGUGGGGUAAAGGCUCACCAAGCCAACGAUCUGUAGCUGGUCUGAGAGGACGACCGGCCACACUGGAACUGAGACACGGUCCAGACUCCUACGGGAGGCAGCAGUGGGGAAUUUUGGACAAUGGACGCAAGUCUGAUCCAGCCAUUCCGCGUGCAGGAUGAAGGCCCUCGGGUUGUAAACUGCUUUUGUACGGAACGAAAAGGUCUCUCUUAAUACGGGGGACUCAUGACGGUACCGUAAGAAUAAGCACCGGCUAACUACGUGCCAGCCGCCGCAGUAA
rnacentral:rRNA from 1 species